CUAGUAUGGACUCAUUUUUUUCUGACAAACCUGGACUUGCCUACUCCUCACGUGAAGAAAGAAGGAUCAGAAAGGAACAAAACAAUGGGGCAAGUCCUCAAACGCCACUUUUCCUGACUUUCCACGGAGGCCAAGCCUAUCGAUAGGCUCCAGCACCCCCCGCGACCCCGAACGCUACAAGCGAUCCUUGAGAUGGAGCUCAUCCGCAAUUGCCCGAUAGUUCCGGACGCAAGAGGACAAAGCUUCCACCUCCCAUACACAGCCUAGCAACACACGAUGACCUCAUCCAUCUGCCAACGGGAUUUAUAACCUGCCUCAAUACAAACACAAGUAAUAAAAGAUAUGAUGCACAUUUUAAGCGUUACCCCUUUGCCAUUUAUGUUGCCUGGAUUUCAAAACACUGUUAGUUUACUAGAAUGUACUGUUUUCUUUUCACCAAGGGUUAUUUAUCAUGUCUUAGAAAUGAAAACAAUUAUGUACAAAUAUAUGUACUGUAUCACCUGCAUUUAAUAGUAACCAUGUAUUCCAAGGUGUAGACUGUUGCUAUUCUCACACAAUAUUUCACCUUUUUCAAGCAACCUCACAUUCAAUUAGAACCCUGUCGGUGAAAUAGUUAUGACUAAGUUGUAGUAAACGUAACUUACUGUGUGAGAGAGGGAGAGAGAGCCUUGUUGCGCAACACUAAUUACUUAACCAUUGUCACGCUGUAAAUAGGAGCGAACACAACCGUUUAGUAUGUUUUCUGUCAUUAAAGGCAAAAAGAUGUUUUCUAUUCAAUUCCUGCAAACUAAAUGAGGACAUAAACCAUGCACAAACAAUACAAAUUGUAUUUCACCUGUUGUUAUCUCGCCUUGUUAAACCUUCCGUAGCCUAGGCCUCCCACCCAGAAUCUCAGUUCUUGGAGAAGACCUCAGGCGACGGUGAACAAGGAGCUUCUGAAUGGGCCCUAGACUGGCCUUUGUCUGGCCCUACUGCAGUGUCUCUUUAUUUACACAGUCUUUAACGCUGUAUGUUUUCUUUCCCUUAAUUGCAUUGGCCUUUGGUGGCCUCUGGUCAAUCAAUACCAUCUCUCCAAUGACAUCAGCACAUCCAUUC